CUAGCCUCUGCAUCUCUCGUGUUGCUGUACAGAUUACUGGUCAGUGACCUAGCUAGUAUGCAAGACAAUGCGCUUCGUCAGCAUGUCACGAGCGAUGCACGACAUGCAUGCAUGGACGACGCAUGUAUAUGAAUAUAUUUGAUGAGGGCGUGGCUAUUUUUUCUUCCCCAUGACGGUGAAUCCAAGCCGAACGAGGACACGAGAGAAGGUCGGCGAGCGAGAAGAACUGUCCUGGAUUGAGAGAAGAACUUUCCUGAAGACAGUAUAUAUAUCCAGUUAUUAUGUACUGUACAAUUCAGGUUCCAGCUACCAGCUUCUUUAAUUUAUUAGCAAGAGCACAGCCAGCUCCAAUCGGUUUUCAGUCCACAUUACUGGACCGUUUGUUACACAGCUCCACCUCCCUAGCUUACGUUUAAAGGCUUAUACGUUUAAUCUAUUACAAGCAAAUUAAUUGAGCCAUGUAAAUGUACUAAAUAUGUGUCUCCCUAGCUGGCUAGCUGUAGACCCAAAAUUAAUGUACUAAAUAUGUGUCUCCCUAGCUGUAGACCCAAAAUUAAUUUCAUGGAGCUACAGAUACUCACAU
rnacentral:precursor_RNA from 1 species